ensembl:lncRNA
GAAGAAGGUACGGAAAAGGAGGGAGAGAAAGAAAAUUCAAUGCACCAGGGGAACUGACCAUCAGCUGGAAAUUCUCAGCCUGAGAGUUUGUAGCCCCCUGGAGCUGGGAAGGUCAGCUGAGCCCUCCCCACAACCCCAGCACAUCAGAGGGGGUCUAUGAAUCCUCUAGCUAGGGGGGAAAAGACAAGAGGCAGCAAAGACAGACAGCUAACAAGAAUAGCAUCACCUCCACCUCCACCACCAUUUCUUGGGAGGAGACAUCAUGGAAGCCACUGUUUUCAGUACUUCGGUAAGUUAUAAACUCAUUUGGAUAACGCACCGCAAGUCAUGAAGCUACAGGCCACCAGGGCGUGUACAGGCAACCAAAGCGAUUCCCAGCUGAAGUUCUGAAAUCUCUGGUUCAGUCAAAACGCAGUAGAGGCACCCUAGCGGCCCGAGCACACAAAGAUAAACGGUAAACAGAAAUUCAGAGACCAAAUUCAGAGAGUCGAGGUGAAGAAUCUACUUACGUUCUCACUCACCCACCUAGCAAGUCUUUCUUUUAUUAACUGCUUACGAGAGGCCAGGCGCUGGGGAUGCACAUAUGAAUAAAAUGAGACCUCUGACCUUUAAGAACUCCCAGUCUAGUCUCUUCAGAACCCUCUAUUUCCACACUGUGACACUUCUGCUAGUGGAAGGGCACGUUAACCGUCUAAGAGGCUGCAGCAACGGGCAUAACCUGGAAUUCUUUCAUCAACCCUGGUUGUGUGGCCACCAUAAGUCCCCUCAAUACGGUGCAGCUCCCGGAGAGCAGGAACCAUCCACACAAACCACAGGAUGAAAAUUCGCCCUCCCCCACCAUACUAGUUCACCUAAGCUGACUUUUGGGGUCAACGGAAUUUAUUUCUGACUCUACCUCCCACCCCCUCACAACCACAUCAAGUAUUUCAGAUCAAGCAUCUGUGAAUCAUAGGUCAAGCUGAUUCAUUUCUUAAAGUUUCCGGAUUAUGAAUGAAAAUGGUAUCGAUCACCUGGAUGAGGAUCAAAUACAGGGAGAGACAGCGCGACAGUCGAGACUUGCUCUGCAUUUACCUGCAACAAUGCCAACUAGAUUUCCAGCAUUUUAUUGAGACGAGGAGAGAGCUGCUGAAAAAUUAGCAGGGAGUGAGAGUCGUAAAUGAAAAUGAUCCAUCAUUCCUUUUUUUUUUUUUUUUUUACCAAUUUAAGAUGUGUAACAUGCUAAUAAUAUUCUCUCCAUUCACUGUGCUGCCUUCUUGUUUUAUUUUGGUUAUUGUGUAAAAUGUUUAUAGUAGGCUUUUGGAAGCUCAGAACACAGAUUCAGAGCCUAUAAAAUGAUGCUUUCCAUAUCAGAAAGCGGAAUGGGAAGGUGAUGUGAGCUCAGCACCUACUGCAGUCUCAUUUCAUAUUAAAGACCCAGCGGGGUGGGAAGCAGAGGCUGGGAGGGGUGAGGUCACCUGCCCCGGCAGGUAGCUCACAGUGGCCUCAUUCCUCCACAGAUCGGCUCAACAGAUCAGCUUAGCUCAAGGGGUGCUCAGAAACAGAAGCUCACGGUAGAGAUGCAAAACAGUGUUGGGAGCAGGAAAGACAAAUUCCCAGAGACCUUUUGGGGCUGUGACUCCCACGCACUUUUCACACCCAUUCACCCCAACCUUUCACCUGCAGAACCAUGGUGUCUCCAGAUCAAUGUGUAAUGCCAAGACAAGGGACGAGAACUCUCACCCUACAUGGGAAAGCCUGAUGGGGACCCCAAGGGAAACCCACCAGUGUGUGAAUCAGAUCCUGUGACCCUUGUGGUCCUGCAUCUCAAAGCAGGGGACACGUGAUCAAAGCCUUGAAGCUUAGAGGGAAACUCAACCUAUGAAUCAUGGCAGCACAGAACCUUCUCUGAGCCUCCCUCAGAACCCACUGACACUUAGUGUGUCACCAGGGGCCAGAGCAGCUGCACAGUUCUCAUGUGAACCAAGACGAUUUAAUGAGUUUUGGUGGUCUCUUAGGAUGCCUCAUCAAUUCACGAGAUGAUCUAUCCGCAGGUGACAAGGUUCAGAAAUGCCAGAUGAAACAUUCACAAGCGAGUCUGGUUUUACCUUUUGGUUUUUUUUUUUUUUUACUGAAUACUUGGCUAAUUUGGAAUCAUCAUAUUAAUAGAUGGAAACCCAGAGAAGGUUAGUGACUUGUCUAAGAACACACAGCUAGAACUAGACAAACCUGAUGGUCAAACUCAGGAGUCCAUAAUCUCUCUCCCCAACACCCGAUUGCCUUGCUUAGGACAAAAAGACCACACAAAGCAAAGGAAAAAAUAUAAACAUUUUAAUUGGAUAAGAAAAGAAUAAGAGAGAAGUGUGAGAUCUAAAGGCAGUGCAUUCCUGGCCAAUCACAGACUCUUUGUGACAUGAACACAGUGAAGGGCUCUGGGCUGAAUCUCUAUUUUAAAAUUUUAAAAUUUAUCUUAAUUAAAAUAGAAUAAAAAUAUAAUUAAUUAAAAUACAUAUUUUUUUAAUUAAAGAUUGGCAUUUGAGCUAACAACUGUUGCCAAUUUAUUUUUUUCCCUGCUUUUUUUUUUCUCCCCAAAUCCCCCCAGGACAUAGUUGUCUAUUUUAGUUGUGGGUCCUUCUAGUUGUGGCAUGUGGGAUGCUGCCUCAACAUGGCCUAAUGAGCAGUGCCAUGUCCGCGCCCAGGAUCCAAACCCUGGGCCACCAAAGCAGAGCACAUGAACUUAACCACUUGGCGACGGGGCCGGCCCGUAAAAAAUAUUUUUAACGUGCCCUUUUCCCAUCCCGCCACAUAGCGGAGAGAGAGUUAAUAUAUUCUGUUUAUCCGUUCUGGUGGCACUGUGUCAGCCCUAUUAUUCAGGGUCUAACAGUUGAAAGAGGCUCAGUGAGUCCAUUGGACAGAUGAGAAAAAUAAGGUCCAGGGAUAGGAAAUGACCUGCCCGAGGAAAUCUAACAUCCCUCGCUCUCCAGACCUGUGGUAUUCCCAGUGCAGAGUGCACCUACUUCCCUAGCUUCUGCAGAGAAGGGAAUUCAGGUCCCUCUGGCAACCCUGAUUUCAUUUCUCAUGAUUCUGUCUACUGGUUUAGCAAAAUCCCCAGGGCAAUUGGCUGAUUCUGAUGAAAUGUAUUGUAGCUACCAAAAGAUAGCAGUGGACAGGGUUAGUUUGUCAACAUAUACAGGAGAAGGGAUCCUGAACUAUAAUGAGCAUGAAAACAGAUAAGGAAUUUAUUUAUUUGGUCCACAUAAAAGGUAUUAUAGCCACACAACGUAAUAAAACUAUGUAGCAGUUACAAAGAAUAAGGUAGCUGACAUGGAUAGCACUUGAUAUAUUGCUGAGUAGGAAAAGGCAAGUUGCAGAAUAAUCUCUUUAUCACAGGUCUACAAAAACAGUACUCUGUGUGUGUGUAUGUGUGUGUACAUAAAUGCAUUAGAGAGGUCUGCGAGGAUGUGCUCCAAAGUGAUAACCUAAGCAGAGAUGAUGGGGAAACAAGGAUUAUGGGCAGUGAUCAAAAAAGGACU